CAACCGUCACGCCUACAAACCGGAACCAAGUGAGGAGAUAUUGGUGUAAUUAUUAUGGCCACUCCACGUAGCUAAAAGGAGAUUUAUUUAGUGGCGUAACUUACAAGUUAAGGGAUCGGUAGGUCGCGGGGUCUGGGGAAGGUGUAUCGCAGUCCAGCGGUGUUCUCUGGAGCUCUGCUUGGCCCACCUUCUCCGUCCAAGGUCCCGGAACCAAGUGAGAGCACCGCCCAUCCAGAUCUCAGGUCUCCAGGCGCCUCCCUUGGCCCCGCCUUGUAGGCGUGACGGUUGCGGAAGUCUCCAUGGGGGUUGAAACUUCAGAUCAAAGCUGGAAUGGCUACCCACUACAGGUGACUCCUGAGAAAGGGUCAUUCAUCCCCCAAAGGUGUUGAGAACCACUGUCCCAGCCUAGAGCCUUCAUCUCUAUUGACGAAUUUCACAGUACUGGAAGAUAUGUCUAUGCUAUCAAAGGAGAAAGAGUCUGCAUGUUAAAGAUUUUCUGUCAGAAAACCAGAAUGAAGACAAAAAUCAGAGCUUGGCUUUGUCUCUUUGAACACUGUCCAUGCCCUCUUUACAGUAUUAAGAACAGAUGAGCCAGGCACUGCACUUGAAUGGUGACACUAUGCUUUGUGGGUACCGCUGUUUUUCCUUGAGAUAGAGUUCUGAGAGGAAUGCUUGAUGAACAUAUUGAUUUCUCCUCAGGGUGAAGAACUCUCUUUUAAAUAAACAAGCUCGGAAUUCAAAAAUA